CAAUAGCGUAUAUUAAAGUUGUUGCAGUUAAAAAGCUCGUAGUUGAAUUUCUGGCGGGCGCGCCGGUCUUCCAAGUGUUGUACUGGGCGCAGUCCGCCAUCCUUGUGGAGAGGGCUCGCAUUGAGUUGCGUGUCGGAUCUGCAUCAUUUACUGUGAAAAAAUUAGAGUGUUUAAAGCAGGCUAUCGCUUGAAUACAUUAGCAUGGAAUAAUAAGAUAGGACUUCGGUCUAUUUUGUUGGUUGCGAACCGAGGUAAUGAUUAAUAGGGAUAGUUGGGGGUAUUCAUAUUUAAUUGUCAGAGGUGAAAUUCUUGGAUUUAUGAAAGAUGAACAACUGCGAAAGCAUUUACCAAGGAUGUUUUCAUUAA
rnacentral:rRNA from 1 species